UCCGGCAAUGAAUUGCCGGGCUAUUUUCAGACCGUCCCUACGGGACU
rnacentral:sRNA from 1 species